GGAUGCUCCACAUGCAUCCCUCCUGUAGCUGCACCCUCAGUCAGAGAGGAUGACCAUCCCAGGGACAGGAGGACUGCUCUUCUGCCAAGAGUAUACUAGUAGCUGUGUUCUCCUGUUAGAACCUCCAAACAAGCUCUCAAUAUUGUGUUUGUUUUUCUAGUUCUUUGCUGUUCCAUAUUAAGAAUAAACUGUCAAUAGCUACAAAAUAUCUUGCAGGGCAUUUGAUUACGAUUGCA
rnacentral:snRNA from 1 species